UUACGGGCACCGAUCGCAAAUGGAGACGUAGAUGAGGAAAUAUAAUUGAUACGAGCGUAAUGAAACACGAAGUCGGUUUUAGUCAUUAAUUCGUACGCUCAUUCGUCUUGUUGCAUUCUAAUUGCGUGUACGAUGCUGCGAAACAAUCAUAGAUAACUGAACUGAUUCUCUUCCAUACAGUGACGAAUAUUCGUCACAAUUUCAUCGCUAUACUAUACUCUUCACGAUCAUAGGAGUACAAAAUCUGUAAGGUUCUGUAAGGUAUCACAUCACCAAAAUCCUCAACUCUAUCCUCAACUACUACCCAAUUAUAGAGAAAGGAAGAAUUUCUUAAACAGCCAAUUUGUGGCAAAUUCACCUGAACUUUUAGUACUCGUUACAUUCAUUACUAAAGGUUGUAUAUUACCGAGUAUAUUAUUGGCUUUCCUAGCAACAUAAUAUAUUAUUUUACUGCUUUUUUCUAUUGAACCAAGAAACGAAAUGUUCACAACUA